UUUCCGUAGGUGAACCUGCGGAAGGAUCAUUACCGAGUAGCAGAAUCCAACUCAAUCGCGUUGGAGCUCUCUCACCCUUGAGUCACGCUCUUUUGACUUAAUCUGUUUCGGCAGCUGUUCGCAGUUGCCGGCAGAACAUCCAACUCUGAUUAUCGAAAGUCCGAGUCUAAAACAAAUCAAUUAAAACUUUCAACAACGGAUCUCUUGGUUCUGGCAUCGAUGAAGAACGCAGC
rnacentral:misc_RNA from 1 species